rnacentral:piRNA from 1 species
UAAAGACUGCACCACCACUGCCGGGU